CCCUCUGCUGGGAUGGCCUGGCCUGAAACUGCCCUCCCGUGGGCCUAGGUGUGGGCUGCUGUGGCCAUGGGGUCCUUGGCCAAGCUCUCCAGCAGGGUAGGGUGGGAAGGACGUUUGCCUCCAUGCCACAGGCCCCAGGAGGUUCCAGAGCCCCCUGUUCCUCUGCUUGCUUCGAGUUUUCAUGCUAGCAGCCAUUGCAGCCCGGCCCAGCACAGGGAGAGGUGAGGGGCACACUGGGCUUGCAGGGACAGACCACUCACUGCAAGCUGCCCACACAGAAGGUGUGCUGACCCUUCUCCCAGCAUGAGGAAUUGGAAGAACUGCUCUCUAAUCUGCCUUGUUCCUGAUUUUCAAAAAGGCUGUGGAGGCAGCACCAUCUCAGUCCUUUGUCCUGCAGUGGUCCUGAGGCUGGCAGGAGUGUUACCCUGCCCCCAGCACUAUGGGUAACGGGCGUUCUGGCCGUUCAGUGAGUGUUGCUGUGGCCAGUGUCAGCCCAGGUGCCCUGCAGUGCGGGUCGCAAUCAGGUCUCAUGGCAUCAGAGAGGCUCAGUGAUCUUUGCACGUUCACAAGGCUGUUCACACGGUGCAAGGCUGGGGUUUGACCCCAGAUCUGUCUGACUCCAAAGUUGGAUCUUCCAGGAAUUUAGGACUUCUGACCUCACCAGUGAUUCCUGAGCACCUGACCCCAAAGAAUUUAGGAAAGGCUACCCUCUGCUGUUUGCCCGAAGUCCAGAGAGCCAGCGGCUACUUCCCUAAACUCAAGAGCCCUCUGCCAGGGAGCCUGCUGUUCUGAGGAUGCAUGUGUGCUGCUCUUCUGGGGGGCUUUGCUGGUCUCUUCCUCCCUGUCCUGGGCUGGCCUCUCCAACGAACCAGCCUCCACUCCAGUGGCAGUGCUCGUGUCCCUCGGGGGGCUGCCCCAGAACCCAGAUGGCCUGUCUGUCUGUCUGUCUUUUGUGUCAGGGUCCUCUGAGGAGCCAGCAGUGUGCUGAGGAUUAGACAGAGCACAGGCGUGGGCAGGACCUGGAGGGAACAUCGCCAUCCCUCAGGAUGUUGACACAUGUCCCCUGGGAACAUAUCAGGCUUUGGGAACAGAUUUCAACAGAGCCUCAGUGCCUGGCUGAGAAUAUUAUGAGAUGUUCUGUGCAAGAGACGGCUUUCUUCUAAGCUUCAGAAUCCUGGGGCUUCUUCCGUGCAUGGCUUUGCUCUGGGGGCCUCGGCAGCCCAUGCAAUGGAGGGGAUUUGGCAUUUGCAGACUGAGUGUCCUCUCAGGGGCAAGGCCAGCAGCCGUGAUGGCAGAAGGACCCAUCCAGAAGUCACUGUCUUGGAUUAUCACUUGUUGACCUCAGCCUUAAUCUCCUCAUCUGUAAAACGGGAAGGGGUCAGCCUAGAGACACUGCAGGGCCCUUCCCUUCACCUCUGAGGUCUGCAGUCACCUCCUCCUUCCCUCAGCACAUGGCUGCUAGUCAGGAAUCUGCCAGGACUGACGAUUUCCAAAAAUAGAAAAGAGAAAUGCGGUCAGCACCACCUUUUCCACUGGGACAUCAGCCCCUCCUGGACGCCCGCAGGCUGGCCUGACAGAGCCAGCUCUGUUCCCAGUCUAGGGUAUUAGUUAAGAGCACAGACUCUGACGGGACUGCCUGGGGUCCGGCCCAAGCUAAGGCGAGUCGCGUCGCCUCUCUGAGCCUUGGUUUCUUCUUCCUGCCCCAGAAGGAUUCCGGAGUCCAGGGAGUUCCUGGGUGAGAAGCACCCACCGCAGUUGCCAGGUGUGCAGUAUGGGCACGGUCUCGGCAGCCGGGUGCCGAGGCCCACUGGGGACCCAUGAACGCCUUCCCAGUUCCUCUGUCACCUCCUUGCUUUCCAGAACGUCAUCAGAUCACUUGCUUUGAGGGCCCCAGGCAUCUUGUCCUAGGAUGGCUAUUUGGUUUUGGAUAACCAGACAACUUCGGAAGGAUUUCUGAGAUUCUGCAACCAGGCCGAGAGCACUUUUGUAAAUGGCGUGCCAUGGGGCGUGUGGCAGUGCAGCAGCCAAGCUCCCUUGCUGCUGGGCCUGUGCUGUCAGCCUGAGGCAGCAGCUCCUCCCGUCGUCGGCACCACAAUCUCACAGCGAGAUGUUUUUAUUACCCCAUUUACUGGGGCAAGAAAACAAGGCCCAGAAGGGUUCUGUUAUGGCUUAGGGUACACAGUGGAGAGUGGGCAGCUCCAAGGUAUCCACCAGGGUCUCUCUGACUCAGUGAGGGCCUUGGGCUGCAGGAUGAGUGGCUGAGCUGCCCCACUAGGCUUAGCCUCUGGCCCCCACUGGCAAGAGUGACCCAGGAGGCUCAGAAAAGCUAAGUGGCUGGGCGCGGUGGCUCAUACCUUUAAUCCCAACACUUUGGGAGGCCAAGGCGGGCAGAUCGCUUGAGCCCAGGAGUUUGAGACCAGCCUGGGAAACGUAGUGAGAUCUUUAAUCCCUACCAAAACAAAAUACAAAAAUUAGCAGGGCGUAGUGUUGCUUGCCUGUAGUUGCGGCUACUCAGGAGGCUGAGGUGGUAGGUUCAUUUGAGCCCGGAAGGUCGAGGCUGCGGUGAGUUGUGAUCUCGCCAUUGCACUGUAGCCUGGGCAACAGAGCAAGGCCCUGUCUCAAAAGAAAAAAAAAAAAAGAAAGAAAAGUGCUAAGGGAUGAGUGUCUCUUACAGCCAGGCCACUCCUGCCCCCUAGAAAGUAUUUCUUCCAGAUACGACACCAAGGCCUUGAGGCUGUGAGCAGGGGGGCCCUGUGUGUCCUGCAAAGCCGGGGUGGGAGAUGCGCUGGUGUAGGCCUCAGAGCGUGGGUGAUAUCCAGGCGUGGGUCCCUCAGAGCGUGGGUGAUAUCCGGGUGUGGGUCCCUCGGAGCGUGGGCGGCGCCCGGACUUGGAGCGUGGGUGGUGCCCGGGCAUGGGUCCCUCGGAGCGUGGGCGGCGCCCGGGCGUGGGUCCCUGCUCAGCGCUUCCCUCCCUGGAAGUUCCCAGUGGUUACUUCAGCCUCCUGUGCUUGGGUAAGGGCCAUUUUUCUUGGUGACCAGGGCUCUGUCCCCAGCCCUGUCGAUCUGCUUUCACUUUUUUUUUUUUAAUUCAGGUGCACCUGGCACAGCGGCUCACACCUGUAAUCCCAGCAUUUUGGGAGGCCAAGGAGGGAGGAUUACUUGAGGCCAGGAGUUUGAGACCAGCCUGGGAAAGAUAGUGAGACCCUGUCCCUACAAAAAACAAAUAAAAUUAGCCAGGCAUGGUGGCACACGCCUGUAGUCCCAGCUACCCCAGAGGCUGAGGCCCAGGAGUUCAAGGCUGCAGUGAGCCGUGAUUGCACCACUACACUCCAGCCUGGGUGACAGAGUGAAACAUUGUCUCUAAAUAAAAUAAAAUUGAGGUAAAUUCACAUA